GGACUACAAGGGUAUCUAAUCCUGUUUGCUCCCCACGCUUUCGCGCCUCAGCGUCAGUCAAGGACCAGGUCGCCGCCUUCGCCACCGGUGUUCUUCCCAAUAUCUACGAAUUUCACCUCUACACUGGGAAUUCCACGACCCUCUUCCCCACUCAAGACCAUACGUAUCAAAUGCCGCCCCCAGGUUGAGCCCGGGAAUUUCACAUCUGACUGUACAGCCCGCCUACGCGCCCUUUACGCCCAGUCAUUCCGAGCAACGCUAGCCCCCUUCGUAUUACCGCGGCUGCUGGCAC
rnacentral:rRNA from 1 species